UACAGAGGUCCCAAGCGUUGUUCGGAUUCACUGGGCGUAAAGGGUGCGUAGGCGGUCUGGUAAGUCUGAUGUGAAAUCUCACAGCUUAACUGUGAAACUGCAUUGGAUACUAUCCGGCUUGAGGAAUGGAGGGGAGACUGGAAUACUUGGUGUAGCAGUGAAAUGCGUAGAUAUCAAGUGGAACACCAGUGGCGAAGGCGAGUCUCUGGGCAUUAACUGACGCUGAGGCACGAAAGCCAGGGGAGCAAACGGG
rnacentral:rRNA from 1 species